AUACUUACCUGGCAGGGGAAGUGCUAGGGCCACCGAGGUGAUUUCCCCAGGGUGGGACUCAUCCAUUGCACUCAGGAUGUGCUGGCUUCUCUGAUUUCCUCACGUGUGGAGACUUGACUGCUGAAUAUCUAUUAGAGGGAGCCUGAGUUGCCACUUUCCCUU